CUCAAGAAACCCUAGAUGGUCGUCUUAGUGAGUUGUCGGACUAAAUUCUACUUCACAUUUAUCACUUUUGCCGAUGGAGGAAGAAUUCAAAACAUGUGUUCUCUCUAAAAGGUUCUAUGCAUAUUGCAAUUCAAAGGAGUGCCAAUUCCAGAAUUGGAAUGCAAAAAUCUAGUGCUGGAGUUGCAUUUAGUGUGUAUGGGGCAGCUGACCUUUCGCGAGCCUCGCCUCUUCUGGAGACACUCAACUUUGAAAUAGAAAAUCAGCAUAUUAUACGUGCUAUUCUGAGAGAAAAUAUUUGGUCGAAGUUGAUAAUUGAAGCUUUGUGUUUCUCAACCUAAAGAAUGUUGACAUUGUCAUCUCCUCUGGGAUGUACAUGAAGGAGCAUCUCAACUGGGAAUAUAUAAGGAAGCUUUUCAAACUUUUUGUUAAAGAAUGCAGUGGAUUUUGGAGAAGUGCUUAUCGUUUCAAAAAAACGAAGGUGUGAGAUUUUUGGAAUCAAGUGUGUGUCCCGAUUUUUAUCGAGAUUGGCUAGUAAUCUGAGAUCCUUUGCUGAGUAUCUGAUUACUUAUCAAGAGUGAGCUUUCUAUGACUAGACUACAAUUAUUUUUGCUCAAGAUACAAGAAUUUUCCCUUAUAUUAUGUUUUUGAUCAACUUCACGCA